rnacentral:rRNA from 1 species
CAAUAGCGUAUAUUAAAGUUGUUGCAGUUAAAAAGCUCGUAGUUGGAUUUCUGGUAGGAGCGACCGUGCCGAACUUGAUUGUUCGAGUAUUGUGUUGUCUUCAGCCAUCCUCGUGGAGAACUUUUCUAACAUUAACUUGUUGGGAUUGGGACCCGCGUCGUUUACUGUGAAAAAAUUAGAGUGUUUAAAGCAGGCAUUAGCUUGAAUACAUUAGCAUGGAAUAAUAAGAUAGGACUUUGGUACUAUUUUGUUGGUUUGCAUACCAAAUUAAUGAUCAACAGGAACAGUUUGAGGAUAUUCGUAUGAACAUGUCAGAGGUGAAAUUCUUGGAUUUUGAUCAGACGAACUACUGCGAAAGCAUUUAUCAAGGAUGUUUUCAUUAA